rnacentral:rRNA from 1 species
UACGUAGGGGGCUAGCGUUGUCCGGAUUUAUUGGGCGUAAAGAGCGUGUAGGCGGCCAGAUAGGUCGGUUGUGAAAACUGGAGGCUCAACCUCCAGACGUCGAUCGAAACCAUCUGGCUAGAGUCCGGAAGAGGAGAAUGGAAUUCCUGGUGUAGCGGUGAAAUGCGCAGAUAUCAGGAAGAACACCCGUGGCGAAGGCGGUUCUCUGGGACGGUACUGACGCUGAGACGCGAAAGCGUGGGGAGCGAACAGG